rnacentral:rRNA from 1 species
CAAGUCGAACGAGAAAGUUCCCUUCGGGGGGCGAGUAAAGUGGCGCACGGGUGAGUAACACGUAGGUAAUCUACCUUCGGGUGGGGAAUAACGCAGGGAAACUUGCGCUAACACCGCAUAAUGCAGCGGCACCACAUGGUGACAGUUGUUAAAGCGGGGGAUUUUAGGACCUCGCGCCUGAAGAGGAGCCUGCGGCGGAUUAGCUAGUUGGUAGGGUAACGGCUUACCAAGACGACGAUCCGUAACCGGCCUGAGAGGGCGGUCGGUCACACUGACACUGACAUACGGGUCAGACUCCUACGGGAGGCAGCAGUCGGGAAUUUUGGGCAAUGGGCGAAAGCCUGACCCAGCAACGCCGCGUGAAGGAUGAAAUCCCUCGGGAUGUAAACUUCGCAAGAAUGGGAAGAAUUAGUAGGGGCUAAUACCCUCUAUGAUGACGGUACCAUUUGUAAGCUCCGGCUAACUCCGUGCCAGCAGCCGCGGUAAUACGGGGGGAGCAAGCGUUGUUCGGAUUUACUGGGCGUAAAGGGCGCGUAGGCGGCCAGCGCAAGUCAGUUGUGAAAUCUCCGGGCUUAACUCGGAAAGGUCAACUGAUACUGCGCGGCUAGAGUGCAGAAAGGGGCAACUGGAAUUCUCGGUGUAGCGGUGAAAUGCGUAGAUAUCGAGAGGAACACCUGCGGCGAAGGCGGGUUGCUGGGCUGACACUGAACCCUGAUGCGCGAAAAGCCCA